AGGUGAAUUCUGUUCUACAUAAAUUCCCCAUCUGAAAUUGGUAUAAGAAGCUUGGCAAGCCCCUCAGAUAGUCAGUUCGUAAAUAAACUUGAUUUUAAAACAUUAAACAGUAUUACUCACACUGAAUAAGAUAGUGUUAGAGAAAUGGCAUUGAAAGCUCUAAUUGUGAUUUUUAUAAUAACAUGGGUUGGCCUAAGUGUCGCGCAAGAUCAACCGAAAUCAAACGAGAUACUAUCUAAUUAUAAUUCUGCAUCGUCCAAUCAAAGGCCAAAAAGAAUUCAACGUUUGGCACUACCACUGGCUUUACCCAUUUAUUAUCGCCUUAGACGCGACCUUUCGGCUGGGCAAUCUGGCAUCAAUCAUCGAAUUAAAGAAUACUCGAAAGGCAGUAUGUCUGCAGGUUAUCCUCAACGUUCUAUGAUUGAAAACAUCUAAAGAUAUCUUCACCACAGUUUCUAUAUGAAAUGAUUCUUAAUUUAUACUCUACGAUUAUUAAAUAUCAUCUAAAAGACUGACAUUAUUGCUAAUAUUAUAUUUAAUGA